rnacentral:rRNA from 1 species
CAGUCGCCGCGGUAAUACGUAGGUCCCGAGCGUUGUCCGGAAUUAUUGGGCGUAAAGGGCUCGCAGGCGGUUUCUUAAGUCUGAUGUGAAAGCCCCCGGCUCAACCGGGGAGGGUCAUUGGAAACUGGGAAACUUGAGUGCAGAAGAGGAGAGUGGAAUUCCACGUGUAGCGGUGAAAUGUGUAGAGAUGUGGAGGAACACCAGUGGCGAAGGCGACUCUCUGGUCUGUAACUGACGCUGAGGAGCGAAAGCGUGGGGAGCGAACAGGAUUAGAGACCCGUGUAGUCCCUGUCUCUUAUAU